GCGACGAGUGGCGGACGGGUGAGUACAACUUAGGAAUCUGCCCAGUAGUGGGGGACAACACGGGGAAACUCGUGCUAAUACCGCAUACGCCCUACGGGGGAAAGCGGGGGAUCUUCGGACCUCGCGCUAUUGGAUGAGCCUAAGCCGGAUUAGCUUGUUGGUGGAGUAAAAGCCUACCAAGGCGACGAUCCGUAGCUGGUCUGAGAGGACGAUCAGCCACACUGGGACUGAGACACGGCCCAGACUCCUACGGGAGGCAGCAGUGGGGAAUAUUGGACAAUGGGCGCAAGCCUGAUCCAGCAAUGCCGCGUGUGUGAAGAAGGCCUGCGGGUUGUAAAGCACUUUCAGUAGAGAAGAAAAGCUUCGGGAUAAUACCCCGGGGUCUUGACGUAACCUACAGAAGAAGCACCGGCUAACUCCGUGCCAGCAGCCGCGGUAAUACGGAGGGUGCGAGCGUUAAUCGGAAUUACUGGGCGUAAAGCGCGCGUAGGCGGCUACGUAAGUCGGAUGUGAAAGCCCCGGGCUUAACCUGGGAAUUGCAUCCGAAACUGCGUGACUAGAGUAUGUGAGAGGGAAGGGGAAUUCCGGGUGUAGCGGUGAAAUGCGUAGAGAUCCGGAGGAACACCAGUGGCGAAGGCGCCUUCCUGGCACAAUACUGACGCUGAGGUGCGAAAGCGUGGGGAGCGAACAGGAUUAGAUACCCUGGUAGUCCACGCCGUAAACGAUGAGAACUAGAUGU
rnacentral:rRNA from 1 species